rnacentral:rRNA from 1 species
GCCUACGGGAGGCAGCAGUCAGGAAUAUUGCGCAAUGGAGGAAACUCUGACGCAGCGACGCCGCGUGAGUGAAGAAGGCCUUCGGGGUGUAAAGCUCUUUCGGCAGGGAAGAUGAUGACGGUACCUGCAGAAGCAGCUGCGGCUAACUACGUGCCAGCAGCCGCGGUC